UCCUGAUUUUGUCUUUGAUCUGUCUAGGA
rnacentral:piRNA from 1 species